rnacentral:rRNA from 1 species
UACGUAGGGGGCAAGCGUUGUCCGGAUUUAUUGGGCGUAAAGAGCGUGUAGGCGGCCGCACAGGUCCGUUGUGAAACUGGAGGCUUAACCUUCAGACGUCGAUGGAAACCGUGCGGCUAGAGUCCGGAAGAGGAGAGUGGAAUUCCUGGUGUAGCGGUGAAAUGCGCAGAUAUCAGGAAGAACACCCGUGGCGAAGGCGGCUCACUGGUCCGGUACUGACGCUGAGGGGCGAAAGCGUGGGGAGCGAACGGG